GAAAUGUGGUUUAGAAUAGAUUGGAGCCAGAAAUGUGGUUUAGUUUAGGUUGGAGCCAGAAAUGUGGUUUAGUAUAGAUUGGAGCCAGAAAUGUGGUUUUGUAUAGGUUGGAGCCAGAAAUGUGGUUUAGUAUAGGUUGGAGCCAGAAAUGUGGUUUAGUAUAGGUUGGAGCCAGAAAUGUGGUUUUGUAUAGGUUGGAGCCAGAAAUGUGGUUUAGUUUAGAUUGGAGCCAGAAAUGUGGUUUAGUAAAGGUUGGAGCUAGAAAUGUGGUUUAGUUUAGGUUGGAGCCAGAAAUGUGGUUUAGUAUAGAUUGGAGCCAGAAAUGUGGUUUAGUUUAGAUUGGAGCCAGAAAUGUGGUUUAGUAUAGGUUGGAGCCAGAAAUGUGGUUUAGUAUAGAUUGGAGCCAGAAAUAUGGUUUAGUAUAGAUUGGAGCCAGAAAUGUGAUUUAGUAUAGGUUGGAGCCAGAAAUGUGCUUUAGUUUAGAUUGGAGCCAGAAAUGUGGUUUAGUAUAGGUUGGAGCCAGAAAUGUGGUUUAGUUUAGAUUGGAGCCAGAAAUGUGGUUUAGUAUAGAUUGGAGCCAGAAAUGUGGUUUUGUAACAGGCGUCGUAAGGAUUAGACCAAGGUGCAGCAGGAACAUGUAUACUCAUCCUCUUUAUUAAAUCAAAAGAAGGAAAAACAAACAAAUCACAUAUACAAAACAACAAACACCACUAAACAGUCCUGUCAGGUACACAGACACAAAACAGGAAACAACUACCCACAAAUCCCAUUACAAAAAC
rnacentral:lncRNA from 1 species